CCCGCACAAGCGGUGGAGCAUGUGGUUUAAUUCGAUGCAACGCGAAGAACCUUACCUGGGCUUGACAUCCCGGGAAUCCCUUGGAAACAAGGGAGUGCCCUUCGGGGAACCUGGAGACAGGUGCUGCAUGGCUGUCGUCAGCUCGUGUCGUGAGAUGUAGGGUUAAGUCCCGCAACGAGCGCAACCCUUGUCUUUAAUUGCCAUCAUUGAGUUGGGCACUUUAAAGAGACUGCCGGUGUUAAACCGGAGGAAGGUGGGGAUGACGUCAAGUCCUCAUGGCCCUUAUGUCCAGGGCUACACACGUGCUACAAUGGCCGGUACAAAGGGCUGCAAGACCGUGAGGUUGAGCGAAUCCCAGAAAGCCGGUCUCAGUUCGGAUUGGAGUCUGCAACUCGACUCCAUGAAGUCGGAAUCGCUAGUAAUCGUGGAUCAGCAUGCCACGGUGAAUACGUUCCCGGGCCUU
rnacentral:rRNA from 1 species